rnacentral:ncRNA from 1 species
GGAUCCAGUGGAGGACAAGUCUGGUGCCAGCAGCCGCGGUAAUUCCAGCUGCACUAGUGUAAGUCGUCAUUGCUGCGGUUAAAAAGCUCGUAGUUAGAUCUGAGUCACAUGCUGUGGUUCACCUUUGGUGUUAAUCGAUGUUGUGACUAUUUGCUGGUUUUCUACUGGGGCUUCGACUCUUUUAGUGGCUAGCGAGUUUACUUUGAAUAAAUUAGAGUGCUCACAACUAGCGUUUUCUUAAAUGGUUGACCAUGAAAUAAUAAAAGAGGACUUCGGUUCUAUUUAUUGGUUCAGUAUCCACCGGGAGCUCCUUCACCUCUGCUUUUCUUUCGAAGUAUCCACCGGGAGCUCAUUC